AUAUAUAUAUAUAUAUAUAUACACAUAUACACGUGUGUGUGUGUGUGUGUGUAUGAAUGUGUGUGUGUGUGUGUGUGUGUAUAUUUGCAGUUUAAUUUCCCUCUGGUACAAAUAAAUUGUAGCCAUAUGCUGGAAAGCUUAAUUUUAUGAUGGUUAGAAGUAGAAAAUUAAUUUACUAAUUGAAUUGAAAUGACAAACAAUGAUAUAUUUUCUGCUGUGGGUGCUCAUGGAUAUGCACAAUUUUUUUUUUUUUUUUUGUAUAUCUACAAUGAUUGAUGAAUAGAUUGAUUAACUGUUGCGACAGAUUUUAUUUAUUUAGAAGAUAUAGCUUUAAGAGAUGUGUUUUGCAAGAGAGAGGUUUGAGAGGAGCUAGAAGGGGGAGAUUGUGAUGCAGGGCUGUCUCGCUUUCUCAGUCUUUUAAACUCUUGCACUAUUUCUCGCUCCCACAUUCUCUCUUCCUCUCUCGCUCUAGCUCUCUGAUGUUCUCUAUCCACCUGCUAACAUCCAUGUAAUUAUAGUCCCCAGUACAAUGUUGUGUUUCAUUAGGAUACAGUGAACAUGAUCUGUUAUCAAUAAAGGAUUGUUAAAGGUUUGUUAAUACUAUGACUGCCUUUUUCUUCCCCUUCCCCUUCCUAAAAUCCUUUCAAAAAUGGACUUCUAUGUUGGAACUGUGUGGUUUUGCAAGGUUUGCACGUUUUGACUUUUUGUCCUCUUAAUUUACUUUCAGCUACAUUUUGGAGUGUCUACAAGCUUUAGAUGUCUUAGGCUUGAUGGCUUUCCAGUGUGUUAUAUCCAUUUUGAGACACAAGAGGGUACUGUAACUGCACUAAGAUUUGUCAUAGCUUUAAUUACACUCAUCAGGAGGAAUGUGGCUGAGGAACCCAACCGUUCAGUCCUGUGUUUGAAGUUACUGCAUUUUUUUUGUUGAUUAUUAGCAAAAUCCUUUAUGGUUUUUAGUGAAAAAAUGGAAAUCUGAGAAAUUCCAGCAGCUCAAAUGUUCUAAAAGUGCUGGUUCUUCUGAAAUAGGCUUUUGAAAGUUGACCUCAGUGUCACCUAUGAACAGUCAGUGUCUCUGGUCUUCUAACAGCGUACAGAAAUGAGGACUUUGGAUAAUGGGCUUUGCUGUGAUUUGUCACCCUGGUGAGCCAUUACAUCCACUCCUGAAGCAAGGUCUGGGCUUUUUACUUAUUUCUUCCCGUUACAGCUCCUACAGUGCAAAGCUAAAUCCUGCUAACAGUCAAACCAGUCUCUCCUUUAAAACAAACAAACAAAAAACUUCCCUCUCCUGGCAGUACGGUAUUGUUUUCCUUGGAUCAGGAUGGUAAAUGUGUGGAUUAAAGUAAUCCUCACUUCUCAGGCUAGAACAAUAGGGGGGAAUUGACUAGAUUGCACACAUCCUCAAGUUUGUGGAUUGGGAGGAUAAACUAUUGAACACUGCAUAAUGCUUUGUUAAGGAGGAGAGUAAAUGACAAGGGGUGGAUGUGCUUACUGCUGAUGAAUAAUUGUCACAUGGUGACAAUUGCUCCAUUGCUCAUGCAUUUCUGUUCAGUUCUCAUAGGAUUCAUCAUUGUAAAUUACCUGAUCAAAAAAAUAUGGUUUUUAUUUUUGAAGAUUUGUCUGGCACUUUAUUUCUGGUUUAUGUAUUCUGACCCUAAGCUCUCAGUUGAACAAGCCCUUAUUUAGAAAAGCAAACAUUUUCUCAAUGUGCUGCAGAUGUUCAGUGAAACAAUCUGUUUACCUCAAACAAAUGAGAGAAACUUAUUCUCUGUGGAUGUUUUUGAAACUGAUUUUCAUUCAAAUUUCAGUGAGUGCUUCAUGAACAAGGUGUAACUUUUUUAUUUCGGCUUAUUUAAGUAGAUUUUACAGGUUUCAGAAUCUGGCCUUUUGUGAGUGUGGAAGUGGCAGUGCUGGUUUGAUUAGCAGGUAUACCGAGCAGGGGGUAGGGAUUUACUCCCCUUUCCAAAACCUUGGUUACACUGCAGAAUUAAAUGAGUUGCUGAAAGAAUGCACACGGGUGGCACGGCUGUACGUCCUGGGGGCCGGAGCUUAAAGCACAGCCCGAGUGGCAGGAUUAUGGAGGAAAUGAGAGGACAGAGCAGGGGACCUAAAGUCAGGUAAUUCAUCUCUAAUUAAACACAAGAACUGACCUGCAUGCAUUCCUCUCCACCUUUUCUCUCAUUAUUUCUCUCCUAACAUUAUUCCCUGCAUUCUCAAAUGUCAGUGUUUUCUUUGUGAUUACAGCAUUACAAUUUGUGAUACGCUUUUUUUUUUUUUUUUUUUAAUAAUUAUUUUAACUUACUUUGUACAAUCUCAAGUGAUUGGAUGUCUUUGGCCCAAAUCCUGUUAUUGACCUCUAAAUUAACACUUCAUUUUAAUUAUGCAAGUGUAUACAAAUCACACUUCUCUGUGAAAGACGUCAUCUCUGAACAUUCCCUCCCUCUUAGCCACCAGCCCACCAGCCGACACUGUCCUGACAUGGUGGCUCUUUGUGUUUGUGCACCAGGCCGAAAGGCCUGGCCACAGGAAGGAAUUAAGGGAGGAGAGGAGGGGAGAAGUAAUUAUGUUUAGUCACUGAAUUCUGGAGAUCCUUGUGUUAAUUAUGCGAUUCACUACAAAACACUGUCAAGUCGAGUGAAAAGAGCAGGAAUGUCUGUGUGAACGGCUAAGAACAUGACACCUCAGAGCCCCCAGGAGGCCAUGGCAGGGCUUUGGGGUUCAGGACAUCAGGUUAAGCCCUACAUGUAUAGCAGGCUUCAAUUACAAGCCUGCCUAUUAACAUGCAGCUUUGUACCUCAGCAUGUCUAGCUCUUCUGGUUUGUCAGCAAUUUUGUUGUAAUUAUAAGUUCUUUUGUAAUUCUUUGUGGAACAAAUAAAGCCAUGUGCACACACACAGUGUAAUGUAUAUUAAAAAAUACGUGUAAACUAUUGAAGUUUAAAGGACAUUUAUAGAAGGUUUAUAUUUUUCAGAAAGCCUCCAGCAAUUUUACUUCUCAAGUGUUAAAUAUGGGAUCACAAUGGUAAAAAUUUUCUCAUUCACAUUUCCGUUGACAGAAGUACAUUGCCCUGAGGAGAAAUACUUCUGCUAUCCUAAUAUCUCUCUCCAGAUUAUGGCUCCUCUUUUGUAACCAAGGAAAGCGAGUGGGCUAGGAUCAGGUGCAGGAUCCAGAGACUGCAGGCAAUGCGACAGAGUGGAGUAAAAUGCAGGACAGGAGAGGAAGAAGUCAUUUACGGCCUGAGCAUGUUUCAUGCCUCAGAAACCUUGUUGAAUUAAGUGGAGUAAUCACAGCUUGAGGCCACAUCUCCCUGCUUCUCUCUGUCUGUGUGUCUCUCUCUCUGCUGAGUGGAGCAGAUUACUACUGCUGGAUUAAUGUGGUCUAGGACAACACACUAAACGUACCACCACACGUACUUUUUAAAGAAUUUCACUGUAUUGGUUCAUCUCCAAUGACCGAUCUUUGCAAUUAAGUUUUGGUGGGCUAUCUUGAUUUGUGUUUAUAGAAAUUGCUACGAAUCAUCCCUCAAUCAUUUUUUGACUGCACCCAGCUGAAGAGAGGAGAAACACAAGGUCAGGGGUAUAAGAAUAGUUUUGAUUCAGAUCAAGUGAAGCAUUUAAUUCUGGAGCUCCCCUCAGGCCACUUCAGUGAAUACUCUUAAUCCACUGUUGUAAUGCACAUUGCCCAAUUGUGUAUGUGCAUUAUCUGGACUCAAUGUGUGCUCCUUUGGGCAGGCGUUGUUAAGCACAAUGCAGCCUAUCUUCUGUUAGCUGUUUGAUUUAGACAGCGACAGUCGAGCGUUGAGACAAGGCCAUUUAUCUUAUUUAAGGGGGGUGGGAGGUAGAGAGAGAUUGCAGCAGCACUUGGGUGUCAUUGGGAGUGUGGUGGAUACGAGUCUAAGAGAGAAUGGAAUAGGAUCUGUGAGAGGGGAUGACUUUGAGCUGCUGCGGCUACUUGUGGUGGACCUUCAGAGAUCGCUGCAUGCAUCUAGUGCAACAUUGUAGAUGGUAAAUAUGGCUGCAUAUCAAAAGAAAGGAAGCUGACGAAUGCUGUGGAUUCCCUUCAAUAACAUGACUGCACAAAUACACCAAAGUGGUGUUGAGGUUUUAAACAUACACAGUAUUAAAAAUCCUUGUAUAUUUACAUGAAUAAAAACAAAUUAAUUACACCAGCUUCCAAUCAAGUGCCAGGGUUCACGGAGCAUUUCUGUACAUAUGCAUGUGUUAACAUCAUAAGGCUCUUUUGCUGGGUGGCACAAACCCUGCUAGCUGUUUGGAGAAGUAGUGUAACCUUAUAGAAUAAUCUUAUGUUGGUCUAUGUAGAGCCCUAAAAUGAUGGCAAGUAAUGAUGGUCAUGUAUAUGGCUAACAAGAUUAGGCACAUAAAUUACUUUUAAUAUGUAAUCAGUGAUCGAUAAUCAUUUGUGAUGCUGUCAGAUAAUUCCCUCCUUAAUUUUGCCAUGGAUAUAUUACCCAUUAUGAUAAUUGUUUUGACAAACUGCUCUUAAUGUGCUAAUAUUGUCUAUUAAUUUUAGUAUCAAAAUAAUUUUUAUUUAACUUUUCAAUAUGCUUGUACCUUAAUCCUGUAUCGUUACAGAGCAUUUUACCCCGUUGAUCUUUAUCCUUUCACUUGCUUGUCUGGUUUCUCCCAAGGUUUCUCCUUUAUUCCAUCUCUGGAAGUUUGUCCUGCCAUAUGUCUUGUUCAUUAGGUAUCUAGGUCUUUGUUGACUGUCAAUUGUUCAAAAUAUCAUCCAAAUAACAUCAAAUAAAUAGAAUAGCAUGCUUUGAAAUUAAAAGUGAAAACAACCGUUGACCUUGAUCUUGACUGAAUUAUCAUGCAAAAUAGAUUUAUAUUCUGUGUGGCUGUUAAGCAUGUUUUCUACAGCUAAAAGAGAAACCACCGAGCCACUGUAUACCUUUAGACUUGUAGUGAAGGAAAGCAAGUAAGGAAGUCAGUGGAAUGUGGUGUACCAGUGGGUGGCAGCAAUCUCCACACUUUUCACGAGGCAUCCUGCUGAAGCUGAAAGUUCAACUCUGAAACUAUGUAAUACUCUAAUUCUUCAUGAGUUCACAACAGCUCUGCUGCAGCUUUGAAGCCAGAGCAAUCCGUUUUUUAGAACAAAAGCAAAAACAGUUACUUCUGAAGCGCUUGAGUCUCAACACAAAAGGCAUAGGUGAAAGGUGGAAGAUUCAGAUAGUUGGACCUGUCAAGCAGAAGAGGCAGAAGUCUGUGGGGAAUAGCAGCAAGGAUAAGAGGGUGCAAUGGACUGUGAAUAGCAAGACAAGACAGCUCCCUGGAGCGAGAGGCUGGAGUGAGGGCCUUACAGCUGUUUUCUGGAGAUAAUUGAUUUUGGAAUAGACCAGAGAUGAGAGCGGACAGGCGGGGGUGAUGGCUCGCUGCAGUGGGGUCCAACCAAUUUCCGCAGGCCUUGUCCCUUUAAUUACUGUGGUGCUAGAGCACGGGAUGCGCCCACUCUCCCAUCCAGUUGUACCCAUCAUGCCUCCCCUUGACUCCCUGAACAAUAGGAGCAGAGAAGUGCAUCUUAUGGAAAGCGACAUGUGGCGUUGUGUUCUGCAGGGUUAACACCCCCGCCGAGGAAGAUGACAGGAUCUCUGUGGCCCUGAAUAUGUAUCAAACUGCCACAAGUCACAUUCCAAACCAGCUUCAACCAGACACUUUUAUUAAGAGUCCUGCCUGCAGAGCAGUUAGGCCCCCAUUAUAAUAUUAUAAUAGUCUAUUAAUGCUGUUACAACACUUGCUGUGUCUAUUGCAUUGUUUGCAUCCUACAAAUGUCGGAGUUUGUUUGUCUUUGUGUUGAUUUGACCUUCUGCAGCUGUGACUUGAAGUGAGUUGAAUCUUCAGCUUCAAGAACAAUAUAACUGACAACUCUGACAGGUAUCAAACACCAAGUAAGGGUGGAAAUGCAAUGAGAUGUUGAUCGAUAGGCUUUAUACAAUUCAACGGGUUGCACUUUAUAUUUCAUUUUGUUAGUAUACUAUAUUCCAUAUAGCUACAAUAUCAAUAAAAAUCCACCACAGCUUUAUUAUCUUCAGGUCUACAGUUUCUCUUAUUGGUUUACAAACUGAGAAACAGUAACAUACCAUAAUCAGUUGGGUGCAGAAGUUUGCACACCCUGUGGCUUUUGGGUGAAAUAGAAUGUAAAUCUAAAUUUUCCUUGGAUAAAAAUAAGAUUCCAAGAAUGAAGAUUCUGCAACAAUCCAAAACAAAAGAUUUAGUGUUGUGAGGCAAUGAUAAGAGAAAACACUAUGUGUACAAGACAAAAUAAAAAAUAUCACAAUCAGCCAGUGUGAUGUGAAUUGACUGUUGUGGUAUUAAUAUUGAAACCUACACUAAUUGAUCUUAUUGACUUUAACUGAUCUUAUAAUGAUA